UCAGUUUCUCUUUCUAGGUGUAAACGUGUCUUCAUGGUGGACUUCAGGAGCAGGAGGGUAAAAAGCGGAGUGCAGAAUCCUUCCCUCGUUCUCUCUCUCUCCCCCUCCCCCACGAUAGCGUCCUCUGUUCCAGACAGUUGAAGAUGAGAAUGUUAACUGCUUGUGGAUGGUGUUUGAGGAAAGCCAACAGGCAAAACAAGGCGAGCAACCGAGCGUGGAGAUCAGGACCACAAGCGCUGCUUCGUUAAACCACAGGAAGCUCAACAAUGAAGGAUUUUUACACACAGAUCUGAUUCUGACCUUUUUAUUCCUCUUUUUUUUUCUUCUAGAAGCUUGCGAAAUCUUCAGGUCUCCAGAGACGUUAGAAACCUACCGCACUCUGGUGAAACAUCUCUUCACCCAAGUGUACAGAAGACAUGGCCUCAGGUCUGAUGAUAGGAUCACAACGCAGCAUGGAGGACUGACCCCGGCUCUUCUACUCUUCUAGCGUGGACACAGGAGGCUACGUAGAUCUUAGCAGAACUGGGAAGUUUCUUAGCAGCAUUAUGGAAUCAGUAGGAGGAACCAUCUUGAGCACCUUCUCCACCAUGAACUGUGAUCUGGUGCAUUAUUAUAACAUCAGAGAUCUUCCAAGUGGAGCCAUUAAAUAACUCCAGGUAUGAGGAUGAUGAGUUUAGCUAGCUAGAGAAACAUAGCAAUGCUAAUCUGACACAACUGUGAGCAAAAUCGCUGCAUGAUGUCAGAAUGACAUCGUAUGGAACAAGGAAGCUCCUCUAUCCAUAAUAAUAAACUCUACAUUAUUAUUAUUCCUUAUUUAUAUAGGGUGCCAAUACUUCUGACAUAAUUUCAAGAUUAUCUCCAAACCCUUUUAGAACCGGAUAGAAUUUUACAGAACUUUGUGGAGUGGAAAUCUUCAUUAGAAGCAUUUUUUACUCAUUUAACUUCAAACCUGACGAGGGGGCGUGGUCUGUGGAAGGGGCGUGGUCUGUGUUUGUAGGGGCGGGGUCAUGCUGUAAGAAAGGAAGUGAUUCUAAGAUGUAUUUCUAAACAAAAAGAGUUUAUAAAGUUCAGCUACGUGACAAGGUUUUGGUUUCUAUGCUGCAUUUGUCCACACAGAUGAAUCCUGCACUCUGAUUGGUCAGAAGGUGUUGAUUAAUUCUCUCUAACAGCAGCUCUAAUUGGAACGCAGGUUUAUAUUGAUGUACUCGUAUAUAUUUAUAUAUUUCUAAUGUCUGUGUGUGAAGUGUGCUUUUCUCUUCAAGCAAAGAUAUUGGCAUUAGUGCAUUUGUAGAAUUGUGUGUGUGUGUGUAUGUGUGAGAGAGAGAGAGAGAGAGAGAGAGAGAGAGAGAGAGAGAAUUUAGCCUGUAGGUGUGUCAUCAUAUGAACAGUUAUGUGGGAAAUUCUGAGACUGUGAUGAUCCAUGGAAAUGUGUCUGUGUGUGUGUGUGUGUGUGUGUGUGUGUGUGUGUGUGUGUGUGUGUGGGUGUCCUGAAGGCGAAGUGAACCCUUCUAUGACUCUUGCUUUGAUCUUAUCCAGUGGUCUGAAUCUGUUUGAGCUGCCAACCAGCCCAUCACACACACACACACACACGCACAGAUUGCUCUCUAUAUAUUUACACACCAAAAACCUUCCCAUACCACUAACCCAUCCCAGUUUUACACACACACACACACACACACACAGAGUUUUAUUUCAUUUCCCCAGACCGCAGCACUCUGGUUUCUGACUGCAUUAAAAAAUUUGCAUGAGUUUCAUCCAACAACAGAUUCAUCCAAACACACAUACACACACACAUACACACACACAUACACACACACAUACACAAACUUGUAUGUCAGGAUUCACUCUAAAACCCAAGAUCCUACUCCAACAUUCUCUAGAAAAAAAUUUAUUUCAAAUGUGUGUGUGUGUGUGUGUGUGUGGUCGGUUCGUCAGAACGAUACAAAUAAAAUAUAUUUCUUCUGGAAGAAAACAAGGAUUUAAAGAAACACGCUGGCUAAAAAUCAAACAUAAACAUGUCCCUUUUUCCACAAAUGUUCCUGAUUAUUGGAGCCCUGCUCCGUGUGAGAUGUUUGCUCCUUUUUCAUUUUGAAACCGUGAGGGUGAUGUAACGGACGAUUCGGCGGACACUUUAGCGUGAAGAGAACGUUCUCUGAACCUUUUUCUCUAAAAGAAUAUUUAAAUAUCAGGUUCACUGAGUAAAAACGUCCAAUAACGAUUAUAAAUGUUUACACAGCGUUGCUGCAACGUUUCCUUUGUGUUACUUCAAGAAAAUCUAUUUAAAACGUUGCAGAAAUGUUGUUUUAACGUUAAUGUUAAACUUUCUAACCCUUUACAAACUUUACUAAACAUCUGGAUAUCUGUUUAACUUUAGGUGUGUGGCCUGGGGGAGGGGGUGGAGCCAUUCCAUAUAUGAUAUGAUGAUUCCAGUUAUUCAGCUACACUUUGUGGGUUUGUUGAUGUUUUUGUGUAGUUUCAUUUUUAUAGAACAGCACAUUAGCUUGCUUGCUAGCUAGCUAGAUUGCUAACUACUUGUUGCUAGCUAGCUUGUUGUAGAAUCUUUUGUUCUGGCUGUGGUUUAUGUUUUAGAAACCGUGUUGCUCAGUAAUGUUAGCCAGCAUGGAUCGUUAACUCAGUUAGCAUGGAGGUCCAAAACAGAAAGCGUUCCGUUCCCGUCUGGUUGUCCGCUAAAGCUAUCAAACACGACUGGUUCAGGCUGUUAAGAAAGAUUUGUGACAUCACGCUAAUGAGCGUCACAUGAGGUCAAGCAGCUACGUCCAGAUGUCGUGAAUGAAUAAUGUAUUGGUGCCACAUUAAACUCGGACUCUGGAAUCCUUCUAGGAAAAAUGAAGUUAUUGGAAUUGUUGCUUGUCCUAACGUUCCGUUCUAAUGCUCACGACAAGAUCCUCUCCGGGUUCACGCCAAAGGAACUCUGGUGAUUGGAAUAUUUCAGAAAUUUCUCAGAUUCUGUGUACGUGUUUAAACAAAGGUUUAUUGGCAUCCAUCAUUCUCCUACUGCACUUUGUGCGUGUGUGUGUGUGUGUGUGUGUGUGGGUGAGCAGGUGAUGUGGCCCUGUCCGGAAGGUCAAAGAAAGCCGUCAGUUCCUUUUUCCUCUCCGGAUAUUCCCAGCAUUCUCUUGCCAGUAUCGCGGCUCGGGAACGCUGGGAAUCUGCGGGACAGGAAGCCGGAACAGGAACGCCGCCGCUCGAGGCACAAACUCCUGGUUCUGCCCUGAUCUCAGAACAGCCUCCUUUAUCCAAACCCUCAGCUCAGACACUAACACACUGGUGGAAUCAGAGAGCGAGUCGGACAACACUGACCCCUGGUGGACAGAGAUGGAAUAACACUUGACACAACAUUAACACCGGCUCCAAUAACUUGAAUACUGAGAUGUUUGGUGUUUUUAUAACGACAGAGGAACAUCUCCACACCUUCACCCUCAUUAAACAUGGCAGGAUUUAGAAAUAUUCAUGAAUAUGCAAAUUAGAAACGUGUCAUUAUUCUCCUGCCAGCGUUUAUUUAUAAACUAGCAACUUAGCUAGUCAUGUGGCUAACUGCUAAUAAAUUAGCUCACAGUUAUGAGCGGAAUUUCAGGCUCAGUUUACAUCCUUAAUGUAGCCCUGAAUUAUUUAUUAACAAACAAACAAAAAAAAUAGUAAUAAAAUGCUAAUCACUCUGCUAGCUUAAAAAGUCACAUCCUCUAAUAAAUUUACAUAUCAGACAUGAAAGGCUCACAUCAACAAAAAUAUUUUAUUCAACAAAUAGAAAUACUAAUAAUGUUUGUUGUAUUUUAUUUAUUUAAAAUCAUCAGUCACCGGCAGUGUAGCUUCAGCGUGACGUCAGUGUGAAGGUCGGCGUGUGUGUGUGUGUAAAAGUGUGUGUAUAGGUGUGUGUGUGCAUGACAUCAGCGUGAAGGUCGCACGUGUGUGUGUAAAAGUGUGUAUGUGUAUAAGUGUGUGUGUAUAUAAGUGUGUGUAUAAGUGUGUGUGUAUAUGUGUGUGUAUAAGUGUGUGUGUAUAUAAGUGUGUGUAUAAGUGUGUGUGUGUGUGCAUGAUGUCAGUGUGAAGGU